CCCGGUGGCCAUGGCGGGGAGGAAAUACCCGUUCCCAUUCCGAACACGGAAGUCAAGCUCCCUUGCGCCGAUGAUACUGCUUAUCAAGCGGGAAAGUAGGCAGCUGCCGGGC
rfam:Treponema socranskii subsp. socranskii VPI DR56BR1116 = ATCC 35536 strain VPI DR56BR1116 ctg120007787821, whole genome shotgun sequence.